rnacentral:lncRNA from 1 species
UUAUGUGGAAAAGAAUGACCACUAAAUACAUUAGGCAAAAAAGGUACUAUACAGAAAAGAUUUUUUAAAAGGCCUUGUUUUACAAAGGAAAAAUUCUCAAUCUUAUGAGAUUUUGUGGAAAAUUUUCAGCUAGCACUGGAUCAUACAAAAAAAUCUGUGUAGUGAACAAAAAUAACAUUCUGAGAUUGAUAGCAAAUAGUAAAUCACAUUUUGCUUCUUUGAGAAAAUAGCUGCAUUGAGAUUUUGUUAUUAGACUAGAACAGUUGCAGUGUGAAUUAUAUAAUAAAUUACAUAAUUAUAAAUGAUAUAAUUUUAAACUAAUGCAUGCUUUUUUCCCAUUGCACAUUCUUAUCAUACAGAUAUGUUAUCAUACUGCUUUUCCUCUUUAGAUUUCUUUUACAUGCUUUUACCAGUGGUGCAAUUCUAAUAAAUAAACAUGGUUUGGUUUUUGUUUUUUUGUUUUUUUGGUUUUUUUUUAAUAUACAUUCAGAUCUUAUCCUCUCCUAGGACUCUCUAUUUUUUUUUCUUGCAUUCUAAUUUUUAUGCAUUCCCUGUUUCAUGACAGCUAAAGGGAAUUUCUGUCCACAGGUCUGUGCUCUGCCAUGUCUACAAAUCCAUGGAAUUUGGGUAAGGAAAGUGGAUCAGUCAGAAGUGUUUAUAACACAUUUACACACAGCCAAUGCUUUCACCACACCUAUUCUUUUGUAAGAAUACAACUGUUGCAAUAGUUCCUGUUUCUGUUCCAGUGACUUAACUGCAUCUUACUCUGCAGUGAGAAGUUUGAUUGAUGGACACGCACACUGCUGUCAUGGGGAGGGAUCCUGAGGCUUGGAAAUGGUUCUUUACAGAGGGGAGGUUGUUCCAGGUGGGCUGGGUGGGUUUUGGUUUGGUUUGCAAAUCUCCCUGGACAAAUCAGUUUUGCUGCAUUUUAAAACCUGGCAGAAGAAUCCCGUACUGCUGUGUGCAACAAGGUGGUUUAUUCUGCUGUCCUCAUAUAAUCCUGUGCUGGAAGCUGCUGCACAGGCAUUAUCUUUAGGGUUUUUUUUUUUUAUUAUUUCUUUUUCAUUUUUAAUCCAAAUUUUUCACAUGGAUCCAUGAACUGCCAUAGUUUGCCCUGUUCAGUGGAUGAAUGUGCAAAUCACCAGAUUUAAGUGGAUUUACCAGACAUAAGUUUAUCUGUUUCUAUAAACUGCAAAAAUAUUGUUAUAACUAAAAGUUUAGCUGAAAAUACCUGUGAAUACUUGAAGAUAUGGUAUCGAUAAUGAAUAAAACAAAUUGUAAUGGUUUUUUGUUAGUCCAGGUUGAAGUUACAGUUUUGGUCCUGGGUUAGAGCUACAGAAAACCUGUCUGUAGAAAGGUUGCUCCAUAGUUCUCCAUUGCAAAAUUUCUUGCACCUUUUUCUCAAUCAGCUGACAUUAACCCCUUUGUAGGGAGCAUCCAGGGUUAGGUGAAGCUUUGGGCAGUUUCACUUCUUAAAAUAAUUAAUUUUUGCAUACAAAUACCAUUGUUAUAAUCAAAAUUUACUGAAAAUAUUGCAUUAUUCUUAUGGUAAAUCAAGAUGCUUCUGGUCUCUGUCAGAAUAACUGUCACCAAACAGGUAUAAAUUAUGCUUCCUACAAAAAAUCAGCACUUCUCAAAAUGGCAAAACUCCUCAAAUAGUAUAAGAAUACUGCUGAAGUAAUAAAUAAUUAUGUUUUGCCUCCUUGCUUUGUUACCUCAUGUAAGUGUUUUUAAUAGACCGACUCAAAACUCCACCUCAUAUUCCAGAAUUCCAGAAAUUCCAUAACAUUUUGUCUGCCUUUGUAUCCCUUGAUGGCUGCAGAGUGCAUUCUUUGAACCCUGGAGAGAGCCAAGGAGACACUCACGUGAUUUUGAAUUAGUUUGAAGUUCUCCAUUUGGUCCCUAAAGAAAAGCAGAACUCUCAUUUCUCCUGACAUUGCACCAAAAUUAAAGGAAGCUUAGACAACGUCUAAACUUCAGCUGUGCUUCAGUCCUGAAUCUAUUCAGAACUCCUUUUUUUUACCAUUGUUUUAUUUUUUAAAACCUGAUUCAGAGCUGUUCCAGCCUGCUGUUAUUUGCCACUUCUUUAACAAUUGGAUGACAAUCAUCACUGCUACCUUCUGAGGAAGGACCCAGGUAGCAGAAUAUCAAGAUCAUUCAUUAGAGAAAAUAAAUAAGUAAAAGCAAACUGAAUAGAAAUCCUCAGUGGGGCCAAGCAGAGCAAAAAGUAGGAGUAGCUCAGUCUCCUUAGUUACAUUCUGCAUUCUCACAGUUUCUUUCAGUUUCCCUAUUAUUAUGGAACAAAAGAGUUAUUUUAAACACUUCUGAGAACAUGGCAUAAAAUUAGCAAAACUGUGUUAGUCUGCAGAGAAUAUAAUUGACAAGGUUUUAAGGUAAGGAGAACUGGUUCUGAGAGUCUUCGUGUCAAAUAGCAAAGUCCAUCCAGCACCUGAGUUUAUAACUGAUACAGUCAUGGAAUUCCUGAAUUCCAUUCUUAUGGUGAGGGUCAGGAUGGGUUCAAGGACAGUUAAUUCAGAAUUGUUGAGAGAUUUUGGAAGUCACUUCAAAAUCCCUUGGAAAAAUUCAUUGCUGUGUAAGUGAAGUAGCAGAGUUGUGAAGGCUCAGAGCUUUCCUGGAUGUGUUCCUGGGAAUGUUAUAAUCAUGUCUUUUAUGUGAUUGUCUUGGAAUAUUUUGUCCUCAACAGAGGCAAAAUUGGAGCAGGACACACUGGGCUCCAUGUCCUUAAAAAGGCAUUAUCUCUAGUCCUGUUUUCUCACAAGUUCUAAUCUUGUUUUCUCACAAAUUAUGCCUGGAGGUGCUUUCAUUUCCAGUGAAAAACCUUGCUCCUAUUCACUUGUGACCCGUUUAAAAAAAUCAGUGCCACAGGUAUCUCUCACUUCAACAAUAAUGCAAAUUUAUUCCUAGUUCCUGUGUUUGGCAGAACUUGUAGCAUUUUCCAAAGCCAAAAUAAUACAAAUACUGCUGUCUUAAAUGUAGGAAGCUGAUGCAGAGUGAUGUGAAAUUCUUCAGCCACCAACACCCAGCACUUUAUGGAAAGAAGGGAGAUGAAAUGUUUGGGUUGCUUGAACCUGGAUCUACUGUUCCUCACAGUCAACACCUGAUUUCAUACUGUCAUACAAAUACAGAAUUUGUAAUUUAUGUGGAUACUUAUUCAACAAAACACAAAACUUCUCUGCUGGGAGUGCUCUGUUCUGAACUUUUUUUUCAUCUUCCAACUUUGAAGCAUAGAUGGGUGUCUCGAGGUUGGUCUGAGCAUACUCAUGCACUUACUGAACACCAAUUCUCCUUUGUUUUCAUUCUGUUCAUACAAAUCCAUCUUGAGAGAGCCAGAAGAAUAGCUUUGAGGGUUUUCUUUUCUGGAAUCAGAAUUGUGUCAGAGCUCUUUUCCAUGUGCUGAGGAUUGUUCUGGUUUACCUUUGUGCUCAGGUAUUUAUUGUGAGUUGACAUUUUUGCUGUACCUUUAAAAGCCAAGCUGUAGCUUGGCUUUUAAAAGUCCUUUGUGGCUCUUGGAAAACAAUAAAAUAACAACAAAGGGAAUUGUUAUAAUCAUCUGAGAAAUCAGAUUCUGCGUUGUGUGUUUACACACAUCUAUAAACACACCCAAGCAAUUGCACACAUGCAGGUCUUCCUUUAAGUAGGUAAUAUUUGGGUUGCAUGAAGGCUGAUCAAGCAGUUUGAGUAAAAGCUUAAAGUCUCGUAUUUCCCCAUUUAAAGCCUCAUAUUUCCCCAUUUAAAGGGACUUUCCUCGAGGGGUUCAUUGAGCAACAAACAGAAAAACAACUGGGACCCAGGAGGUGCUUGGAGUUUAGAAUCCACAUUGAGAAUUCAGCCUAGCUACUAAAUUUUCCAUUAUGUCAGACACACCAGACCUGUGGUGAAGUUUGAAAUACCUUCAAAGACAAGAGAGAAUUUGCUCACCUUGCUGUGUGUCAGAUUCCCAUGGAGCUUCCAUCCGUUCUUCCAUCCUUGACAGAGCAGUGUGGGAAAGUGGGCACAGCUGUGUGUCCUGGGAAGCUGCUUCCAACCAUUUCUGUUCUCUCAAAGAGCCUGGCCUGCAGCUGAAGGAGAGCUUCAGUGCCACUGCAAGAUUCCAGAAUCCAGAAAACAAAGAUGCAGUUAUAAAACAAAAAUAUUCAUGGUCAGGGGAUUUGUACCACUGUCCUUGGAGAAUCCCUUUGAAGUUAAAGCCUAAUUGCCAUAGAGAAGGUUGGAAAGUUCAGUAGGCAUUAAUUGAAUUGCAGUAGGUAAUAAAAUGUGUAGGUUCAGUGAUAGUUACAUCCCAUACUCCAAAAAUAAGUAUUUAUUUGGGAAAAUGUGCUGGGACCAAGCAAAACAGUUCAGUUGCUGCUCAGGAUGAAAGAACUUACAGCCACGUUCUACUCAUGUCCUUCAAACAAGGGGCUGGGCUGGGUUCUAAAUUUACAAAAAAGAGAACUUUGCUGUGACCUCUGGGUUCUGUUACAGUAAAUAUCCCAAAUCUCAGACCAUUUGUCAGCAAUUCUGUGAAACCCUUCCUUGGAAGGAUCUGUUACAGAGAACAUGUUAUAAAAUCCAUGUUUCCAAGCAGUAAAACAAAACUCAUAUAGUGUGACAUCUCUCUAGCCACUGCUCAAGAGAACUAACAAAAGCCAACACAAUUGGAUUUUCAGAGUCUGAAUGAAUGAAUGUUUUAGUAAAUAAUCAGCCCACGAAAUUUAGUUUUUAUACAAAGUCAGUUACAUAUGGUGGAAAAAAAUAAGCCCCUCUACAUGUAUAGUUUUGCUUAGUCAAGCCAAAAUAUUUAUUGAAGAAAUAAUUGUGAUGGAAAAUAUUUUUAUAAACGUUAAAACACAAACAAGUCUGGACUAAGAAGUUGCAAAGAGUCAAGAAAUACAUUUAAAAAUAGAUACUCAAAGUAACAUAAACCACCCCUUUCCCCAGUGAUAACAUUAUCAUGAACAAUCACAGAAUUAGGAAGAAAACCCAUAAAAACCUGUUGUUCUCUAAAAAUCUUUAACUUUUCACUCACUGAACAAUCCAGUUUCAGAAUUGAGAAUAAAACCUACUUGU